UUGAAACAUUGGUUCUCAUCCAAUCAGCAAAGUUAAGCAACAUCAAGCUUGGUCAGUACUGAGAUGGGUGACCAUUUGGGAAUACCAGGUGCUGUAUG